rnacentral:lncRNA from 1 species
GUGUGUGUGUGUGUGUGUGUGUGUGUUCGGGGAGAGGGUGGUAGCACAGGGCUUGGGAUAUCGGCAGUGUGGGAAAUGCGAAGCAUUUCUCAUCAUCAUCAUCUCUGCUACAGUCAUGUUUCUGCAUGUCAGCGAGCGACACUGUCCCUGCCUCAGGUUGGAGGUUUUAUCAGCCAAAGUGUUUUUUUCAUGUAUCGUUCGUUCCAUUCAUCCACUCUGUGCCUUGUCAGCCUUUGAAAGGCUUGGUUGCUCCCAGGCUGCUGUUCUCAGGGACCUUAAAAGGGACCUGGUUAGUCUUGGGGCAGAGAGUAUCUACUUGGGCACUCUCUUCCAAGAAAGACCUUGUCUCCAUUUUCAUUAGACAAUGCUUCUUGUGUGUGUUCUGGAAGAUCUUCUAAAUGGAAUGCUUGUUGCACUGUUCCCAGUCUGGGCCCUUCUCAGGAUCCUCAUCUCCAUCCUCAUCCUCUUCCUUCACAGCAUUUACUUGGAGCUCUUUGUGACACACCAUGUCAGUCAUGAUGAAUCGGCCAACAGCCAGCCCUUGCCAGCUGACGUCACAGUCUAAGAUGGG